AAACUCUGGCAGGGUUGUGCCUGUGGGCAGAGUCAGUGCUGGGCCAAGCCUGAGCUCAGGUGGUGGUCUGGUGGUGGCCAUAUGUUCCCAGGGCUACCCUCUUCCCGGGUUUCUGUGCACAUCUGCAAGGCUUAUCUGGUGGGACCUGAGUUACAGCAGGGGUCUGCUGGUGGUGGGAAGGCCUGGGACCUACUCUGGGCUUCAGCUACCACUCAGGUCGUCGAGGCUGAAAUGGGCCAGGAUUGGCCACCAUUGAGUGUCUGUUGGUGGCAGUCUGUCCUGGUCCAAACGUGAGGUCUGGAGGGAGCUGCUGGAUGGAGGAGGCAGGCCUGGGAAGAACCUGAGCUCUGGCACCAGUCUCAUGAUGAGUGGAUGGACUCGGCCUACCCUGGGCCCCAUCUCCUGCACAGGUCCUUGCAGUGGCUCUGGACUGGAUCUGAGCUCCUGAAGUGGUCUGCCGGUGGGCAGAGGCAGUCCUGGCCAGAGUCUCAGCUCUCGGGAGGGUCAGCCAGUGGUUCUGGGCCGGACCUGAGCUCGGUGCAGGUCUCCCAGUUGAGGGAAGGAUGCAGUCUUACCCUGUGUGUGGCCUCCUGCGCAGGUUGGUGGGGGCAGAUCUGGACCGUAUAUGAGCUCUGGCAGGCGUCUGCAGGUGAGUGAAGUGGUCCUGGUCUGGGACUGAGCAUCCUGCUGGUAGUGGGAAGAAACCGGGCUACUCUGGGCCCCAGCUCCAGUGCAUCUGGGAAGGGCCUGAGCUGGGGCGGGUGUCUCUGGACCUUUAUUUUAUUCAUUUGUUCAUAGGUAGUACUGAGGAUCAAAGCCAGUGCCUUACAUUUGCGAGACAAGAGCUCUAUCACUGAGUCACAACUCCAGCCCUAUUUGCUUCUUCUUGACCUUUAAUCAUGCUAUUUUUUGGUUCUAUAUCAUUUGUUCAGGCAUGCAUCUGGAUUUUAACAAGUAGCAAUUUUGUGAUAUCACCAGCAAUGCUUCAAAAGCUGGCUUCAAAUGAGACCUUGAUCCUCAGCCCGAUUACAUCCCACACAUCCGUAUCACCUCUGGCAUAGGUGCAGAAGAGAGAUGACUAAGACAUGGUCCAUGUGGGGAGGGGGGAGGGUGGAUGAUGGGAAAGGCAGCGGAGCACAACAGACACUAGUAUGGCAAUUUGUAAAUCAAUGGAUGUGUAACUGAUGUGAAUCUGCAAUCUGUGUAUGGGGUGAAGGUGGGAGUUCAUAACCCACUAGAAUCAAAGUGUGGAAUAUGAUAUGUCAAGAAAUUUGUAAUGUUUUGAACAACCCACAAUAAAAAAUUAAAAAAAAAAAAAAAAAAAAAAAAAAAGAAUGAUCCAAAAGGUGAAAAACACUUUUUUUCUGUUUAAAUUUACAUUUUCCAAGGUGAUUGUUUCUUGAAACAAGACUCUCUCUGCCUUAUGGAGAAGUCAGGAUAUAUGACAUGUCCUGGACCAAUGAUGCUUUUAGGAGAAAUGUCACAAGGGUGAAGUCUAAGCAUGACCACUCAAAUGCAAAUUCCAUUGGGUUUUCUUUUUUGUUUUUUAUUAAGAGUCAUGGAAGAACAUUUUUGGCCUUAUGAAGCCUGGCCAUUUUGAUGACUUUUAAUACAAUCAUUGACAUCUUUACAAUCUGUCACUCAAUUGCACUUUGGUGAAAUUGUCUUUAGAAAUUGUGAUUUCCCUAUUUUCCAGUUUUCAGGUGUGAUGAAUUACAUGUUCUAUUCAAUUACAUGCACAUAGUGCAAUUGUUACAUAAAUAAAGAUGUGAAGCUCUUUAGGAAAAAAAAAAAAAAAAAAAAAAAAAAAAAAGACAUGGUCCAUGACUCUCAACUUUUGGGAAAAAUUGUUUUGAAGAGGUAAAGGGUAAGGCGACACUUGACAGAGAUCUGCAGAACGCAGAGCCAGGGAUGGAAGCCAAGGCUUUGGGAAUGCGAGGCAAGCACUUUGCGGUUUUGCCAUUGAGCUGCUUCCCAGCCCAUUCAUUCAUUGUCAGCGUGGGAAUUUGGGGCUGCUUCUAUGAAUGAAUCUACUAUGAAUAUUAAAAAGAGACUGACCAAUGGCGUUAGUAUGUGUCCAACCCAAUUAGCAUAACUUUGGGCCAAUAGCAUUGGUCCUUUUUUCAAGUCCUAAUUAGCAUAAGUUUGGACCAAUAGCAUUGGACCAAGCGCUAUAUAAACCCCUUGCAGGUUGUUCAGACGUAGAGAAGCAGCGGAGGCCAUCGAGGUUGGUGUCCUGGAUUUCGCCGGACUUUCGCCGGACUUUCGCCGGACUUUCGCCGGACUUUCGCCGGACUUUCGCCGGACUUUCGCGGGACUUUCGCGGGACUUUCGCCGGACCUUCGCCGGACUUUCGCCGGAGUUCCAUGGAAGUUUCACCCUGGUUUGGUUCCCAGAGGUGAUUCUUCGACUUCCAAGAGACUGCUGAAAGAAAGAAGACAUGGUUGAGGAUCUGCUGGGGUCUGCUGCAGCGCUGGAUGGAAUGGCCCGCCAUAAGGAGGAAUGUGUCCUGGGAUGAGAAGACUCCAUUAAACCCGGGUUGACCACAAUGAGAAUGGAUCUGUAGGAGUCCUGGUGAAUGGAAAGCGAUUAGAUUUCUAUACUGCUUUCCAGAGCUUGGGAGGUUGAAGCAGGAGAAUUGCAAGUUCAAAUCCAGUCUCAGCAAUUUAGCAAGACCCUAAACAACUUUGCAAGACCCUUGUCUCAAAAUUUGAAAACAAACAAACAAACAAACAAAAAGGGCUGGGAUAUGGCUCAGUGUUAACCCCCCAUGGGUUCAAUUCCUGGUACUAAAACAAAUAAAAAUAAUGUUUCAUAAAUCACUUCUGAAAAAAAUCUCCUUAAUUUUCUUAACUGGUGUUUUAAGAUUAUGUCCACAUACAAAAACACGUCAACCAUUUGACACCAGAACAAUAUACUGCCUUCAAGAUGCAGGAAAUCUUGUUAUUUGAAACCCUAAUGAGCUUUAGGAGACAUUAUUGUAUUUGAAAACAGCAAAUGUAGAAGGUGGUGCUCUAUGACCUCAAUGAAGUGUGGAAUCAAAACCAGUUGCUCUGUAAAAGCAGAGAGCAGGAUGGUGGUUCCCAGGAGCUCGGGGUUUACCAGUCUACUAAUAACAUGGAUGUAGAUUACAGACAUAGCAAGUGCAAAUGACCUGAGCCUUUAGAUUGAUGAACACUAGUGGUUGAAAUAAGGGCAGUCCUGAGGGGGUAUAAGGUAUAAGGGUGGUGAUAUAAGCAAAGACCAGAUGAUACAGGGCCUUGUAGACUACUCUGAGGAUGUGCUCCAGGGGAAAAAAAAAAUGUCUAUCUGCAAACAUUUUGUGCUCAUCUAUGAGUUUGGAAGAAAAUUACCAUACAUAGUCUUCUGUAGUUUUUUAAGGAAAUGCUAAGACCUUAAAAAACUUAAGUGUAUUAUAUUUUUAAUAAUUUAAGAAACUUAACUUUGUGAGGAAAGAAUUAUUUUAACUUAGACACAAAUGUGUGUAAAAUUCACAUUGUGAGGUAGAGAGUUGGUUUCUGCAGUAACUGUUAGUUAACUUAGAAUUAGAUGUUGAGAUCUCAAAAUAUAUUUAGAAGUUGGUAGAAAUGAAAAUAUGGCGAAGGGAGAAAAUAUGUAUAUAAUUGCUAUAAGUUAGAGAAUGCAUUUGCCAAUUUUUAUAAAAAAUAAUUAAAAAAUUUAGACACCAUGUUCCCAUUUGCAUAAUGAACUUUGACUAACCCCAGAUCUCUGUCUGCUUUUUAAGGGGAAAGUACUUUGUCAUCUUUAACUAUCUGGACCCUUAACUAUCUGGUUCCUUAAUCUCUAAGACAUUAGGCUAUUUAAGAUCCAUCAGUGUAUUAAAUGUUUAAAUUUUCAGAUUUAUUUUUAGAAUUUGGUCCCUCAAACUAAAUGUAAUUUAAUUUGUAGUGAAAUCCUCACAACCUAUGGGAGGAAGAAUGUUCCCUUUAAUCCCUCAUGUGAAUUACAUGGAUUUGAGUUUAUACAAUAUGUAAUGUUACGUUCUCUUUCAUAACUUAAUUAUUUUAUCAAAACCUAAGGUGAAAUUGGCAGGUGUCCUUAGUUUAGCAUCCAGCCAAAGAUGAAUCCAAGAGCAAUUUGCUGAAAAGAAAUAGAGAAACUUUCUCUUCUGCCAAACUUUCUCAUUCCUGCUGCUCUUGAAAACUGUCUGUACAGGGGAAAAAAUCUAUAAACACAGAUAUAAAAAGCAACAGUUGCCUCUGUUCAACUUCCCAUCACAUGUGACCUGAUUUUCUAGUUCUCUGUGAUGCCCAGACCCUUGCUUCCCAGCAAGAGCCAAAGCAAACUGCUUUCAAGAGUCUCCAUCUCUGUUUGCAAACCAUACCCAGUUUACCUAUUAGACAGGCAUCUGGCAUGGGGACCACAGCACAGCUUCCUCCUGUACCCAAAGUCUGAGACAGGGGCUGAGCUGUAUUCUGUCUGGACUCAUCUGUAGAUGCAGAGGUCAGUGUUUGAUGAGAUAAAUUGACUUGUUUUUGAUCCUAGGACAAAACAAAACAUUUUGGGGACCAUAAAUGGCCUGAGGCUGAUUUGUUUUCUGGAGAAGGGCAAAGAGUAUAAUAUACUAUAGACUGCCCUUGGAAAAAAUGUUGCAAGGGGAAAGAGUAACUCUGAAGAAGGGCUAGAGACCAGGGAGAGACUGACUACGUAAUUAAUAACCCAAAGCUACAGUCUGUUGCCAAAUUUUUCUAGUGAUUUCCCCUAAUCCUUCAAAUUCUUCCUAAAGUCUUUUGAAAGAUAUUUUUGCAAGAUACAACAUUAACUUCCAUUCUAUUUUGCUAUCAUUUGUAUUUUUUUCUUUGCUAUGUUCAUGAACUAGAGCUAUUUCCUGACCUUUUGGACAAGGCCAUUAUUUUCAGAGUCAAAUUAAAAAUUUUGGUUAAGGAUGCUUAUGUAUUCUGGAAAAGAAAAUUCUGAAGAUAUCAUUUGUGUUCUUAGGCAAAUUAUGACACCUAGGAUUGUUUAACCUUAAAAAAUUCUUUUAUAAUUAAAGCAUUAAUAGAAAUAUUACUUAUAUCAGUUUAUUGUUGCAUAACCAAUGAUUCCAAAACUUAAAAUGGAUAUUAAAACAAUAUUCAUUAACUUAGUUUAUAUUUCUGUGGGAUGGAAAUUUAGGGUGUUUUCAUCUUACAGUUCUGGGUCUUGGCUGGGCCCUCUGUGCUGUCACGUGCAUGUCAGUUCAGCAUGUCUGCUUCUAGGAGCUCUCUGAUUGUCAGAAUGACUGUGAGACUAGGCUGCAUUUCUCCCACCUUCUAGUUGGUUUGUCCAGAUAUGUUUAUAUGUGGUCACAAGAGUGGCUUGACUUAGAACUGGUAGACUAUUAGCCUAUAACAAGUAACAAAAUUGGCUCAAUUUAUCAGGUAGGGAAUUAGACUCCAUGAUUUCAUGGAGGAGCUUGUACUGACCUUGCAAAGGUGCAAAGAGGGGCUGUAUUUGCAAUUGACCUCACUAAUCAAUGGCACUACAUGCUAGGCAAUUUAUAUACAUUUUCACCAAUUUUUACAAUAACACAAUAUGUUAAUGAUCACUUCCUCACUUAAGAGUUGAAGGCACUGAAGUUUAGAGAGACUAAUUGCCUUGCCCAAGAUUGUAAAUAAUAAUCAGACAAGCUCUAUCUUGGACAAUAAUUUGUGUGAAACAAAAUCUUUAGGUUAAUUUUUUUCUUGUUCAAUUUCAUAUUUUUUUUUCUUUUAUUGAUCUUAUUUUUUAAUAAAUACAGGACAACAGUGGAAUGCAUUACAAUUCUUAUUACACAUAUAGAGCACAAAUUUUGGUAUCUCUGUAUAUAAAGUAUAUUCACACCAAUUUAUGUCUUUAUACACGUACUUUUUUGCAUUACAAUUCUUAAUACACAUAUAUACCACAAUUUUUCAUUUUUUAUCUUCAUAGUUUCACCUUCUGUUAAGUUCUGGAAUCAAAUUCUACCAUCUUUCUUCCUCUGUUAAAAAUCUUAUUAUACUUUAACACUAUAUUAUUUUUUUCCAGUAAUAAUUUCUUUUUCUGUAAUAAAAAACCAAAAAAUAAAAUAUUUUUUUCUUUAAAAAAAAUUUGAGAAUUUCUUGAUUUUUUAAAAAUCUAAACCUCAUUAUCUUAAUUUUAAAUAGUAAAAUCUGGAUAGUAGUCUGUAGUAUGGAUUUAUUCUGUAUUAAAAAAUUUGGGGGGGGCUGGGGUUGUAGCUCAGUGGUAAAGUGCAUACUUAGCUUGUAUGAAGCCCUGGGUUUAAUCCCCAGCACCACCACCAAAAAAAAAAAAAAAAAAAAAAAUACUAUUUUCCAGUCCUCAUGAGUAUAAUAAAAAUUGGGGUAAGGGAGGAGAGGAAGAUGUAUGUCCAAAAGACAGGCAGGUGUUAUUAGGACAAAGAAAACAAAGAAAUAAUAAAUGUUCUAGAAGAGAUGUGUAAUUCUAUAUACAUAUCUAUAUGUACCUUGACUAACCUUCCAGGGCAGUAGUAGAAUGCAAAGAGCCAUGUUCUCAAGUAUUUGCAUCUAAAGGUUUCUUGCACAACUGACUACUUGUUUGUAGUUGGUGCAUCACCUCACUGUUCUAGCCCUCAUAUUCUGCACUAGAAAACUAAGGGUAUUAGAUUUAUGAACAACUCUGAAUUAAAAUAAUCCAACCUUCUGACUCUCUACACAGGACAUCUGGAGGAAUGUACUUACGGCUGAAAUUUGACCAGCCUACUGUGUAACAAAGUAGUACCUCGUGUAAUUUUCAAUCUGUGUAUGGGGUGAAGGUGGGAGUUCAUAACCCACUUGAAUCAAAGUGUGGAAUAUGAUAUGUCAAGAAAUUUGUAAUGUUUUGAACAACCCACAAUAAAAAAUUAAAAAAAAAAUGAAUGUUCCUACCAAAAAAAAUUCCUUCCAAAGGCAAUGCCAUUCAAAAUUCUCUUAAAUUGAUAUGAGGCUAACCUUAUUAUUGUCCUUAGUGGUCUCUAUUCAUUGUCUUUAGUAAAAUGGAAGUGAUACCUACACAGUGUUCUUCUCUUAAACUGUGGAUUAACAUAAUUAUCAUUUCCUUCUAAUUGAAUGCAAGCAAUUGGUGACAGCAGUAAUGCCUAAUCCUUAUAUAAAACAUCACCUAAUAUUCACUAAUUGUUUUGACAGUGUCUCCCCUUAUGUCUGCUGUCCAAGAUUAACUUGCUCUUGGAAGGAAAAAAAUCAAGGGAAGGCCUGGGAACAAAUGUUGAGAAAAACAUCAGUCAGAUAAGCUCUAAGCUUCAGAAAAAAACACUUUUUAUCUUGUUGUUUUUUUUUUUUUUUUCUUGCUGCUUCUCAUCAAAAUUGAGACCUUAGGAUUUCAGAUAAGGGUAUGAGCUAGAAGUAAGAGCUCGAAGAGGUCUGUGUUUGGUGGGGUGCUAUUGAAGAGCAUGGCACAAAGAAUCCUCUUGCUAGCCAGGCACCUCAUGAUUGAAGUUCUGCAUGAUACUUGGAAUCAGAAAAUCAACUUCUAAUAAGAAUAUUCAUUUGCUGUCUUUGUGCCUGAUAUAGAUCUCAUUUAGGAAUCUGUAACUUGAGCAGACACCUAGAAAGUUCACAGUGUCAGAAGGUGGGGAAGUUGGAACCUAAGUAAUAUAAUAAGUAAUCAAGAGCAUUAUCCAUGCAAAUUCUGUUUGAGUACAUUCUUACCAUUUCUUAUUUCUAUGAACACUGAACUUUGCCAUAUCCAUGGGCUGAGCAUUGUUGUUUUUCAAUUUGCUUUUACUAUCUCAAAUUACUCUUUUUCUAACAGGGCUUUAGGCUUUUAGAAUACCAAUAAAGAUUUGGUAUAUUUGCUCCGAGUUUUCUGAUAAUGUUUUUCAAAAUCAAACAGUUCCUUUAUAAUAAUGAUAAUAAUAAUAGCCACUACUAUAAUAGUUUGUUAGAGUUGCCAUGAGAAAAUAUAGAUUGGGUAGCUUAAACCAAAUAAUUUUUCUCACAGUUUUGGAAGCUAGAAUUUCAAGAUCAUGGUGUUGACAGGUUUGGUUUCUUUUGAGGUUUGUCUUUUGGCUUCUAGGUGACUAGCUUUUAGCUAUAUUCUCACAUAGUCUUUCCUUUAUACUCAAGUGCCAAAGUGCCUUUGUCUAGGCUCUUCUUAGGAAUCCAAUCAUAUAAAGGUCUCAUUUUAACUUAGUCAAUUCUUAUCUCCUAAUACAGUUAUAUUUUGAGGGACUAGGGACAUAAUAGAUGAAUUUGGGGAUUACAGUGACCUUUCUUUAUUUCUGCCAUGCAUUAUUCUAGUCACUUUGAAUGAAUUAAAUUCAGGGUUCUUCAAUCUCAGCACUAAGGACAUUUUAUACCUGACAAUUCUUUCUUGGGGUAGGGUUAGGAGACUGUUCUAUGCAUUGUACCAUUACUAAAUCCAUUUUAGUAUCAUCCUUGGCUUCUGCCAGUAACUCCGUCUCCCCAGGUAGUGAUAUAAUUAUUUGCAGACAUUGUCAGAUUUCCCCUGGGGGACAAAAUUGCUCUAAUUGAGAACCACUGAUUAAGUCUAAUCUUCUCCACACUGUUUCAAGGUAGCUUUAAUAUCCCCACUUUAUAAAGGAAGGUACUGAGAUUAAGAAAGGUUGAAUGACUGGCCAAGUUCACAUAGAAACAAAGGGGCAGAGCCAGGAUUUGAACUUUAGUUGUUUUUUUCCAUGACAUUAAGCUGCUGCUUAGUGGUUAUCCUGCACCUUUUCAGCUUUCACCACUGUCUCUAAAUCUGCUACACCAAAUGCUGAAUGAUGGCCUUAAAAUAAUCAGUAAUCAUGUGAUGAUCCUUUCUUUGUAAUCUUUGUGAAAUAUUCUAAACCAUAAACCUAUUAUGCUUUCUGAAACAGUGACCUAGGGGUAUUACAAAUUGUCCGCAGAGCCAGGCACCAAUGCCACCCUCUUUAUGGUCAUUAAUUAAACUGAGAACAGGCUGAAAGAUACACAUCAGCUGGAUGUGAUGUUACACAACUGUAAUCCUAGUGGCUUGGGAGGCUGAGACAGGAGAAUCACAAGUUCAAAGCCAGGCUCAGCAAAAGCAAGGCACUAAGCAACUCAGUAAGACCCUGUCUCUAAAUAAAAUACAAAAUAGGGCUGGGGAUGUGGCUUAGUGAUUGAGUUCCCCUGAGUUCAAUCCCCAGUACCCUCCCACAAAAAAGACUGAAAUACACAUUAAUAAUAAUAAAUUACAAAUCUUAGCUAAAACAAUUCAUCUUUUCACCCCAAAAUUAUGUGAUAACCCAAUUUUAAAUAUGAAAAUGAAGUCUGGGGAAAUAAGUUGGGAAAUUGCCCUGAUUAGUCAGAGUUAGGUAAAGAAUGAAAAUUAUACUUCUGCUGUGUGGGAAAUUGUUUAAAAACAAAAAAAAUGCUUGCCUAGUGCAUCCCCCAAAAUGUGACAGCUUCAGAAUGGUGUUCAGGUUUUCCUAAGAACCCAGAUGUUCAAUGACUAGUACUUGAACUUUCAAUAAACUCCAGAAAUGUAAAGAAAACUAAAUGAUUGUGCAUAUGUGUGUGCUACAGUGUUCUGAGAAGAAUCCUUCUCUAAUUCUCAAGAAGUAAUAUUUGCUUCCCCACCAUGAAGCCCAAGACUUGAUUAACUUUAUCUUAACAUACCAAUAAAUGUUGUAUUGGCCAUAAAAACAGUCAGCUCUAGUAUAAAUCCAACUCCAGUAUUUAAUUCCUUGACCUUCUAUGUCAGGGAUUUCCAGAAGCAAGCCUAAAAAUCAUCUAAAAUCUAUUUUUCAAGUUAUAAAUUGAACUUUAUUGAAAUAAAAGCUUCUGUUUUGUAUAACAUACUAUUAAUAGUAUCAAAAACAAAUCUUAAAAUUGGGGGAAAGUAUUUGCAAAUCACAGGUCUUCCAAAAGACUUAUCAAUGAUCAUAAACAAGGGAAUUCACAGUAAAAAGAAAACUGAUAUAAAAUCUCAAGACAGUUUACCAAAUAAGUUAUACAGAAACCCACACCUGACAAUGUCUUCAACAUCAUUAGACAUAAAACCACAAUCAGAUAUUCUAAUACUUAAUAGAAUGGCAGAAAUUUUCAAAUGAAACUAAUAAUUUAUGACAUAGAUUCAGAACAGCAUGUUACAUGUUUCAUGCAAUAAGCUUCAAUUUCAUGCUUCUCUGUCUACUUUGAGAAAACUAAGUCUAUGUUCACACAAAAUCCUGCCAAUGGAAAUUGAUAUAAGCUAUGUUUUUAAGUUCAAAAAGUGGAAACUACUCCCAAAUAUAUUUUAAAUUGAGAAUACAUGAACCAUCUGUAUUAUACUAUACAAUGGAAUAUUAAUCAGCAAUAGAGAAAGACAAAGCAAUAUGUGUAACACUAAGUGUGAAAUGUGUGAAAGAAAGCAAACACAAAAGGCUGAAUUUUAAUUAUGAUUCCAAUUUAUAUGACUUUUAUGCAAAUACAAAAUCAUAGGUUCAGAAAUCAAAUCUAUCAUUGCCAGGGACUAGAGGUGGAGGAUGAUUAGACCAGAUAGAAGCAGAGAGGAAUUUGGGAGGGUUGUUCUUCAUCUUUUUUUGCAGUGUUGCAUAUUAUUACAAUCUUUUUCAGAACUCACAGAGCUCUAAAGAAAUAAAUGUUACUUACAUACAUUAAUUAUUAAAAAGUGGAGGCAGUUAGUUCUGAUUGUUUCUAAAGAGAUGGACAAAUGAUCAUGUAGCACAAUCCUCUUUCUUUGUUCAUGAACUUUUAGUGCAGACAGAUGUAUCAUUCACUCAUGUAGUCCAUUAUUUGGAAUGAAUAUAGGAAGGGGGAUUUGUGAUGGUAUCAGGAUAGAAGAUGCAAGAAUGCCUAAAUACUGCUAUAUUUUUAGAUAACUAUGACAAUGCCUUAAGACUAAGACUGUUUCACCCUUUUCAGUCAUAAGAGUCAAAUCUUGGAAAUUCCUAUACAAACAAGGAAUGGAUAUUAUUACAAAUAAAAAGAACACACAAAGGAAACAGGAGCACAGUGUGCCUCAGCCAUAACUCCUCUUGACAGAACAGUUGAUUCCCCAAUACAGCUAGGAGACAGUGGAGAUGAAUCCACCUAGUAAUCGCCACCUAGUCUUUUCUUGGUAAGCAUUAUGCUGAGUGGUGAAUGAACUCAUCAGAUUCCUUCCUGACAGCAGGGCUGUUUAAUUUUGUUUUGAGAAGGAGAAGGAAAGAAAGGAGAUACUAAUAAGAUACCUGAUAAGUAACAAAGGACAGUCUUUCCAGGGGCAAAAGUAUCCAGAGUCACCUUUUCUGGUACUCUUGAUGCUUUCAGACUUUGGAAUAGGCAGGAAAAAGGUUCCCACCAUUUGAUACCCCCAAAUAAGCAUUUAAGUGAAACAGGAGCAGAAGUACCCCCAGACAUGGAUGGAUUUAGUGAAAACCUUUGUGGUUUAAUUGGAGGAAAGCAAAAAGCCCACCAAUUCCUGAAAGUGUGUCCUUUGAUGACAUCAAAACAGUGUAUAAUGCUUCAUUUAACACAUAUGACACAUGGGAGUUUGGCUCCAUGAGUCUCUUAUUGAAAUGUAUUAGUUAUUUUUAGAAGUAAGCUAUUCUCAGACUAUUAAAGCUGAAUGAUUUUAUUUUCUUUUUGUGGUACUCAAGUUGAACUAAUGCCCUCAAAAAUGCCAAGAAAGUGUUCUGCCACUGAGCUGAAUCCCAAGCCCUUUAUUUUUUGAAUAUUGAUACAGGAUCUCAUGAAAUUGUUCAGAUUGGCCUCUAACUUGCAAUUUUCCUGCCUCAGCAUCUUGAGUUGCUAGGAUUCCAGGUAUGUACCAUCAUAUCUGGCCUGAAGAACCUUAGAAGUUCUCUAUUUCUAUUUCUAUUAAUUAGUUUAUUUAUUUUAGUUAGCAAAGCCUGGGUCCUCAUCUUGAUCUUGACGGUGUUAUUUAACUACGUGACCUCUUACAAGUCAUCUUGUUAAAAAAAUAUAUAUAUAUUAGAAAGGUAUUACUCCCAAAUCCCUAGAUAAUAUAUGUAUGUAGUGUAUAUUUGAUUGUAUGAUUCUAAACAUAAAUUAUAUUAAAUUAUUCUA